CUGGUCAGGGGCGUCUCGAUUAAAUCCUGCCAGGAGCGGCGCUGACUGGCUGUCUUACGAAUGGGGGACACCACAAUGCUCCCAGUUACUUCCUGGCGGAACUCCUCGUGGGAGGACUGCGACUGAGAGGUCUCUGUUGAGGAGAGCCGGCUGUGUUUUGCUUCCACGUAAGGACUGGCACAACUCAUCUGUGGAAAGGAGCCUCUGAUCAGUUUCCCCAGAAAUAAUCACCUGGGAACACAUUUGAUUUCCAGCAGAUUUCACACAGACUGGCAAAAAAGUUUUUUUAAUGUUUCAAUGCUCAUUUCUGAGGAGGGAACAGAUGGAUUGGUGGUAGGGUGCUCAAAUGUGUUUUUGCAAAUAACCUCACAAUCAAACUGGAAUUACUCAAAAAAUACAAGCCAGCCCUCACAAUCACCACGGCCAAGAUCUUUGCAAGAAAUUCGCCUUUUGCUCUUGCCAGCUAUAGGACCUAGAGAGAAGACUGCUGAAAUGUCUGAAAUAAAAAAUAGGGAAGGCUGUUAUUUGAUAUUCUGGGUACCAUCAGAAUGCCACCGAACUGCAGAGAACCCUUAAUAGCUGAACCCUGUUUCAGAUCACCCUUUUUCCGGAUUCAUGUUCAAGUUUGUUGCUCUGAUACACUGUAUACAUCUUCUCAUUAUGGAAUUCUUGCCAGAACAGACAAGCUCUCCAAGACAACCACUUCAAAUGUUUCUACCUCUGCUAGCUUAGCUGCAGUCUUCUUGAUCCAGAGAUUGUUUUUCCUUAACAGAAAAUCU